GUUCAGUGGCUAUUUUCACGAGUGUUUUUAUAAUUCUCUCCCGUGUGGUCUGUGUGUGCGCUUGUGCAAAUUACAUUUAAAAUUUAAAAUGACGGAGGCAAAGGUGCACCGAGAAAGAACAAAGAACUUUACCGAAAGGGAAAAGGAAAUUGCUCUAGAUAUUAUAAACAGAUAUCAAAACAAAAUAGAAAAUAAAGAAACCGACGGUGUUUCCCAAAAGGAGAGAAAAGACGCAUGGGAAAAGGUGGCUGAAGAAUUAAUUCAGCAUCAUCAACAGCACCACGAACAGGAAAGCAGAUGAAAGUGCUUUGGUCCAAUUUACGCCGGACAGCUAAAAAAAAUAUUGCUAAAGAAAAUAAAAAAAGAUACUUAGAUGAGACGAAUGAACUGGGAAAUAUAGCAGAGCUUAAACGAAAAAAAACUGAAGAUAAGGUUAGUUAAAAUAAUUAAAUUUCAGAAAAACAAAUUUUCUUAUCCAUUUAAGAAAAACAUUUCGAAAACUGGGGGUGGAACGUUCGAGAGCCAAUUAACUGACGUGGGGGCUAGAGUCUUAGCAAUGGUCGAGCCACAGGCAAGGCCCUUACCAAAUCUAUUUGAUGAUGACAAUAUUUACCAUAAAGGUUCAAUUUCAAGUUCUUGAGGUACUUCAACAUCUGGAUCUCUUGGCGGUUCAUUAUCAUUUGUGAAAAUGGCAAUGUUAUGUAACACAGCACAAGCCACAAUAGUUGCUAAUGUAGUGUUCAUUUUAGUCCGCAGUCCCAAUGACAGACAAGGAAAACGACGUUUCAAAACUCCAAAACACCGUUCAAUAGCAUUUCUAGUCGUUCUGUGUGACAAAUUAUAAGCUUCUUCCGCAGCUGUUCUUGGAUUCAGUACUGGAGUUAAAAGAAAGGGACGGCAAGCAUAUCCACUAUCUCCAAGUAGAAAACCAUUUUCAUAUUCACCUCUUUCUAGAUGUGCACAGAGGGAUGAAUCAUUAAAUAUUGUGCUAUCGUGGACACUUCCUGGCCACCUCGCGACAAUAUUUCUUAUUUGCAGGUCUGCAUCGCAUACUGCCUGUACAUUAAUUGAAAAAAAUCCCUUCCGAUUACGAAAAAUUUCAGCGUUGGGGCCACCUGGUGAUUCAAUUCUUAUGUGAGAACAGUCUAUUGCACCUAUUACUCUUGGCAUUCUUCUUUUACGAUAAAAUUUUAACUGAACAUUAUGUAGUUCUUCUCUGUUUGGCAUUUUUAUAAAUUGUGGUUUAAGUUGAGCGAUUUUUUGGAUAACACUUUUUAUAACAACACAGACUGUUGACUUAUGUACAGCAACAGUGUCACCCACUAAUUGUUGAAAGGAACCUGUUGCCAAAUACCUCAUUGUAAUUAAAAUCUUAUUUAUUGCAGAUAUCGAUUUGCGUCUUCUAGUUGUAGGUUCUAAAUCAUGACCGAUCAACUCAUGAAGCCAUAAGAUAGUUGCCUUCGAGAAUCUAAAUCUCAUUUUAAAUUCUUCUUCGUCGAAAAUUUCAUAAGGAUUUCUCCUAUCUCUUAUCCCUCGGUAUCUUCUAGGUAUUCUUUCCAUUCUUACUUCAUCCUCAGAAGAAUCAUCAGACGAUGAUGUAGUCGAAAGUGAUACAUCAGACA